CGGGGCCCCUUGGAGAAAUGGCCGCGUCGGCAGGUGGGUGGCGUGGUACGGCCGCUGGUAGUGUCGGAGCAGGAGCGCGGGCGCGGGCCACGACCUGAAGAGGCGGCCAUUUAAGUAAGUCUUCCCCAACACCGAAUGGGAUUCCAUCUUCAGACACAGCCAACGAUACCAUGGACCCUUUCCAUGCUUGCAGUAUUCUUAAGCAACUCAAAACAAUGUACGAUGAAGGACAGUUGACAGACAUUGUAGUGGAAGUGGAUCACGGGAAAACAUUUUCCUGUCAUAGAAACGUUCUUGCUGCAAUCAGCCCGUACUUCAGAUCCAUGUUCACUAGCGGCCUUACAGAAAGUACUCAGAAAGAAGUGCGGAUCAUCGGUGUUGAAGCUGAAUCGAUGGGUUUGGUAUUGAAUUAUGCGUAUA
rnacentral:lncRNA from 1 species